AACGAACGCUGGCGGCAUGCCUAACACAUGCAAGUCGAACGAGACCUUCGGGUCUAGUUGCGCACGGGUGCGUAACGCGUGGGAACCUGCCCUUAGGUUCGGAAUACCUCCCCGAAAGGGGUGCUAAUACCGGAUAAUGUCUUCGGACCAAAGAUUUAUCGCCUUUGGAUGGGCCCGCGUUGGUUUAGCUGGUUGGUAGGGUAAAAGCCUACCAAGGCGACGAUCCAUAGCUGGUCUGAGAGGAUGAACAGCCACACUGGGUCUGAGACACGGCCCAGACUCCUACGGGAGGGAGCAGAGGGGAAUAUUGUACAAUGGGCGAAAGCCUGAUCCAGCAAUGCCGGGUGAGUGAUGAAGGCCUUAGGGUUGUAAAGCUCUUUUACACGGGAUGAUAAUGACAGUACCGGGAGAAUAAGCACCGGCUAACUCCGUG
rnacentral:rRNA from 1 species